rnacentral:rRNA from 1 species
CAGUCGCCGCGGGAAUACGUAGGGUGCAAGCGUUAAUCGGAAUUACUGGGCGUAAAGCGUGCGCAGGCGGUUCUAUAAGACAGAUGUGAAAUCCCCGGGCUCAACCUGGGAACUGCAUUUGUGACUGUAGAGCUGGAGUGCGGCAGAGGGGGAUGGAAUUCCGCGUGUAGCAGUGAAAUGCGUAGAUAUGCGGAGGAACGCCGAUGGCGCAGGCAAUCCCCUGGGCCUGCACUGACGCUGAGACGCGAAAGCUAGGGGAGCAAAUGGGAUUAGAUACCCCAGUAGUCCCUGUCUCUUAUAA